rnacentral:rRNA from 1 species
AUUGAACGCUGGCGGCAGGCUUAACACAUGCAAGUCGAGCGAGCGGCGGAAGGGUGGGUAAUGUCUGGGAAACUGCCUGAUGGAGGGGGAUAACUACUGGAAACGGUAGCUAAUACCGCAUACCCUCAGAUGUGCCCAUAUGGGAUUAGCUAGUAGGUGGGGUAAUGGAUCACCUAGGCGACGAUCCCUAGCUGGUCUGAGAGGAUGACACGCAACACUGGAACUGGGACACGGGCCAGACGCCUACGGGAGGCAGCAGUGGGGAAUAUUGGACAAUGGGCGAGAGCCUGAUUCAGCCACGCCGCGUGUGUGAAGAAGGCCUUCGGGUUGUAAAGCACUUUCAGCGAGGAGGCGUUACUCGCAGAAGAAGCACAGGCUAACUCCGUGCCAGCAGCCGCGGUAAUAC